rnacentral:rRNA from 1 species
CCUACGGGUGGCAGCAGUGAGGAAUAUUGGUCAAUGGGCGAGAGCCUGAACCAGCCAAGUCGCGUGAGGGAGUACUGCCCUAUGGGUUGUAAACUUCUUUUGUCGGGGAGUAAAAGCCGGACGUGUCCGGCUGUUGGAGUACCCGUAGAAAAAGCAUCGGCUAACUCCCUGCCCGCCGCCGCGGUAAUUCGGGGGGUGCGAACGUUAUCCGGGGUUAUUGGGUUUUAAGGGGGCGCAGGCGGGUUUUUAAGUCAGCGGUAAAAACGUGGGGGUAAACCCCAGCCAGCCGUUGAUACUGGGGAGCUAGAGAGUGCGAGAGGUAUGCGGAAUGCGUGGUGUAGCGGUGAAAUGCAUAGAGAUCACGCAGAACCCCGAUUGCGAAGGCAGCAUACCGGUGCACGACUGACGCUGAGGCACGAAAGCGUGGGUAUCGAACAGGAUUAGAUACCCCUGAAGUC